GACGAACGCUGGCGGCGUGCUUAACACAUGCAAGUCGAACGAAGUGGCGAACGGGUGAGUAAUACGUGAGUAACCUGCCCUCCUUUUUGGGAUAAGCCUUGGAAACGGGGUCUAAUACCGAAUAAAGGGGGAUGGGCUCGCGGCCUAUCAGCUUGUUGGUGGGGUGAUGGCCUACCAAGGCGGUGACGGGUAGCCGGCCUGAGAGGGUGACUGGAGACAUUGUGAGUGGGCUACGGCCCCGAGGCGUACCGCAGGCAGCAGUGGGGGUUAUUGUACGUUGUGCGAGUGCAUGCUGGCGCGUCGUCUCGUGGUUGCUGAAGGCUUUUGGGUUGUAAACCUCUUUCGGUAUAGAGCGGGUAGGUGGAGAAGAAGCACCGGCUAACUACGUGCCAGCAGCCGCGGUAAUUC
rnacentral:rRNA from 1 species